AUGGAGGAAGACACGGCCAGGAAGCCCAAGUUGUUCUUGUGCACACUCUGCAUCUGCGUAGAAGGAGUUAUACUCCCUACACAUCCCCAUCCUAUACUCACAAAGCAGACGUGUGUAACCCGCAUAUGAUGUUGUACCAAGAGCAAAAGGUUGGAAUUGAGUUGUAAGUAAAGUCCGCCCCUCGGACGUUUUUGUGGCUGCCCAAAAUUGAACUAGGUGCCAACCAAGUUCAUCCUUGGAUAUCAAUUUUUGGAGAGCAUUUCUGACUAAGUCCGCAAAAUUAUCUAGAGAGAGAGAGGACUUGCCGAG